UACAUACGCAAGAUGUUAGUGGUCACUGUAUGGUAGUCUGCGAAAGGAGUUAUUCAUUAUUCAUUUUUGCAACAAGGAAAAACGGUAACAGCAAC